rnacentral:lncRNA from 1 species
GAGGUCUAAGCUCCACCAAUUGAAGCUUCAAUGUGAAACUUCAAUGGCGUGUUAUGAGGAAGAGCUUUACUGAGGGUUGAUUCCAAGGGAGAGAGAGGAUCUGAGAUCGAUCUUCGUGAGAAUUCUGAGAGUGAAACGUUGAGAGCUGCAACUGAACUGGGAUGAGAGCUCUUAUAGAGUCCAGUUCUGUUACAAAUUCACCUGAAAUUUAGGUUAAAUGUAGAUUGAAAGUAAGAAGUUAGUUGUGAAAUGCAUUAGUUAGUUAGUUGGUUGAUUCAUUAUGUUAAUCCAUUGGUGUUAAUUUGAGAAGAAUUUGGAACUCAUUUGGACUAUGAAUCCGAAGUCAGUUUAAAAAUGAAAUUU